AUUGAACGCUGGCGGCAGGCCUAACACAUGCAAGUCGAACGAGUGGCGGACGGGUGAGUAAUGUCUGGGAAACUGCCUGAUGGAGGGGGAUAACUACUGGAAACGGUAGCUAAUACCGCAUACCAUCGGAUGUGCCCAUAUGGGAUUAGAUAGUGGGUGGGGUAAAGGCUCACCUAGGCGACGAUCCCUAGCUGGUCUGAGAGGAUGACCAGCAACACGGGAAAUGAGACACGGUCCAUACUCCUACGGGAGGCAGCAGUGGGGAAUAUUGCACAAUGGGCGCAAUCCUGAUGCAGCCAUGCAGCGGGUAUGAAGAAGGCCUUCGGGUUGUAAAGUACUUUCAGCGGGGAGGCGUUACCCGAAGAGGAAGCACCGGCUAACUCCGUGCCAGCAGCCGCGGUAAUAC
rnacentral:rRNA from 1 species